rnacentral:rRNA from 1 species
UACGUAGGGCGCAAGCGUUGUCCGGAAUUAUUGGGCGUAAAGAGCUCGUAGGCGGUUUGUCGCGUCUGCUGUGAAAACCUAAGGCUCAACCUUGGGCUUGCAGUGGGUACGGGCAGACUAGAGUGCGGUAGGGGUGACUGGAAUUCCUGGUGUAGCGGUGGAAUGCGCAGAUAUCAGGAGGAACACCGAUGGCGAAGGCAGGUCACUGGGCCGCAACUGACCGC